rnacentral:rRNA from 1 species
GGCACCGGUCAUAGGAAGGGGGGAAACACCCGCUCUCAUGCCGAACGCGGAAGUUAAGCCUCCUUCCGCCCAGCUUUUAGUGGGGUGCGGGAGCCCCUGCGAAGGCUGGGUACUGGUGCUC